rnacentral:rRNA from 1 species
GUGCCAGCAGCCGCGGCAAGACAGAGGUGGCGAGCGUUGUUCGGAAUCACUGGGCUUAAAGGGCGCGUAGGUGGUAGUGCAAGUCUGGGGUGGAAUCCUAUGGCUUAACCAUAGAAUUGCCUUGGAAACUGUAUUACUUGAGUCAGUGAGGGGAGGGUAGAAUUCCUGGUGUAGCGGUGAAAUGCGUAGAUAUCAGGAGGAAGGCCGGUGGCGAAGGCGGCCCUCUGGCGCUGAACUGACACUGAGGCGCGAAAGCGUGGGGAGCAAACAGGAUUAGAUACCCUGGUAGUCCACGCCGUAAACGAUGGACACUAGCUGUCGGGGCGCAGGCCUCGGCGGCCAAGCGAAAGUGAUAAGUGUCCCACCUGGGGAGUACGGCCGCAAGGCUGAAACUCAAAGGAAUUGGCGG